rnacentral:snRNA from 1 species
GUGCUCAUUCAGCAGCACAUAUACUAAAAUUGGAAUGAUACAGAGAUUAGUAUGGCCCCUGCGCAAGGAUGACACACAAAUUUGUGAAGCGUUCCAUAUUUAA